GUAGGUGGCAAGCGUUGUCCGGAAUUAUUGGGCGUAAAGCGCGCGCAGGCGGUUCUUUAAGUCUGAUGUGAAAGCCCACGGCUCAACCGUGGAGGGUCAUUGGAAACUGGAGAACUUGAGUACCGAAGAGGAAAGCGGAAUUCCACGUGUAGCGGUGAAAUGCGUAGAGAUGUGGAGGAACACCAGUGGCGAAGGCGGCUUUCUGGUCUGUAACUGACGCUGAGGCGCGAAAGCGUGGGGAGCAAACAGGAUUAGAUACCCUGGUAGUCCACGCCGUAAACGAUGAGUGCUAAGUGUUAGGGGGGUUUUCCGCCCCCCUUAGUGCUGCAGCUAACGCAUUAAGCACUCCGCCUGGGAGUACGGCCGCAAGGCUG
rnacentral:rRNA from 1 species